rnacentral:rRNA from 1 species
UCGAGCGGCAGCGCGAGUAGUUACUACUUGGCGGCGAGCGGCGGACGGCUGAGUAACGCGUGGGAACGUACCCCAAAGUGAGGAAUAACCGCCCGAAAGGGUGGCUAAUGCCGCAUAUGAUCUUCGGAUUAAAGGAUUUAUCCGCUUUGGGAACGGCCUGCGUAUGAUUAGAUAGUUGGUGAGGUAAUGGCUCACCAAGUCAACGAUCAUUAACUGGUCUGAGAGGAUGAUCAGUCAGACUGGAACUGAGAUACGGUCCAGACUCCUACGGGAGGCAGCAGUGAGGAAUCUUCCACAAUGGGCGAAAGCCUGAUGGAGCAACGCCGCGUGCAGGAUGAAGGCCUUCGGGUCGUAAACUGCUUUUAUCUGUGAUGAAUAUGACAGUAACAGAAGAAUAAGCACCGGCUAACUACGUGCCAGCAGCCGCGGUCAUACGUAGGGUGCAAGCAUUAUCCGGAGUGACUGGGCGUAAAGAGUUGCGUAGGUGGUUUGUUAAGUGAAUAGUGAAAUCUGGUGGCUCAACCGCACAGACUAUUAUUCAAACUGGCAAACUCGAGAAUAGCAGAGGUAACUGGAAUUUCUAGUGUAGGAGUGAAAUCCGUAGAUAUUAGAAGGAACACCAAUGGCGUAGGCAGGUUACUGGGCUAUUUCUGACACUGAGGCACGAAAGCGUGGGGAGCGAACCGGAUUAGAUACCCGGGUAGUCCACGCUGUAAACUAUGGAUACUAGCUGUUGGAGGUAUCGACCCCUUCGGUAGCGAAGCUAACGCGUUAAGUAUCCCGCCUGUGGAGUACGGUCGCAAGACUAAAACAUAAAGGAAUUGACGGGGAC